UCGAAGGAGAAGGUGCGAUAGCCGCGGAU
rnacentral:sRNA from 1 species